GGAAGUCCAAAGCGUUCACCCCAGGCUGUCCUUCCUGCUCAACUCGGGGGACCAGAGUGCUUGAUAACCAACCGUGGAGAAGCAAGCAGCUUACACAGGCGUCGGAAGAAUAACCUGGCGGAUCCGAUCUGCAAGGACAGGGAGGAAGACCCUAUGUCACAGCUAUGGGGAAAAUCAAAGCAGAAUUGUAUACAUCAGAAAAUCAAGCUUCCAACAAACCUGCUGCAUCAUUUGACGCUGUCUUCAAGUCUGUGUACGUCUAUACUUCAAGCAACUUCUUUCUUCAUAGAAAAAUCCAAUAACGUGAUCUCUUACUCCAGGAGCACAGGGCGCCCUGCUGUAUACACUGCCAAACAUGUCUCUUGAGGCAUUUGAGUAGUAGGCGCCAUCCUCUCAUGCUCAAAGACUUUGAGGAAAGAAGACAGUAGGAUGAAUAUACUUUGUGCCCACAAAUUUCAUAAUCUUUUCUCAAG
ensembl:lincRNA